GAGAAUAUGUCUUUGCUGUGUCUAGUUUGAAAAAUGUUUCGCAUAGCAUAAGACAUGGAAUAAUCAAAAUCAACAAUCGCUUCUGAAAGCAAUAAUUUAUUAUAAAAUUUAUUGUCAAAUUUAUUGUAUCCUUUUAUUAUUAUCAGAAAUUCAUCUCAUUUAUCAAGCAUGUAAGGAAUCUUACAAAAUGUUUUGAAGAGCCACACGUAGCUUGGAGGUACCACAGAUAAGUAUAUAUGAAUUUUCAUCAAGAUUUUCGAGCAGAGGAUCUAUUCAAAUGAAUUGCCGCAGAUGUUUUGGUACCCACGAUCAUCAAUUCUUGAAACUCAGCCCUUUACAAAGGUUUCAGUUCCAGAUACCAUUUUCUCAUUUGCAUGCCCUCUUCUUUUAAGAAAAGUUAGAAAAAGUAAUCGAAUAUUUUUUCUUUAAAUGAUUUUUUUAAAAUAAAUUAAAAGUCGGAAAGACUGUUUCAAACAACAUUAUUCGAAAUCAGAUAGUUAUCA